UACGUAGGGAGCAAGCGUUGUCCGGAAUCAUUGGGCGUAAAGCGCGCGUAGGUGGCUUCGUAAGUCCGUUGUGAAAGUCAAAGGCUCAACCUUUGAAAGCCGAUGGAUACUGCGGAGCUAGAGUACGGAAGAGGCGAGUGGAAUUCCUGGUGUAGCGGUGAAAUGCGCAGAUAUCAGGAAGAACACCAAUGGCGAAAGCAGCUCUCUGGGACGGUACUGACGCUGAGACGCGAAAGCGUGGGGAGCGAACAGG
rnacentral:rRNA from 1 species